rnacentral:rRNA from 1 species
AGAGUUUGAUCCUGGCUCAGAUUGAACGCUGGCGGAAUGCUUUACACAUGCAAGUCGAGCGGCAGCGCGGGGCAACCUGGCGGCGAGCGGCGAACGGGUGAGUAAUACAUCGGAACGUGCCCAGACGUGGGGGAUAACUACUCGAAAGAGUGGCUAAUACCGCAUACGAUCUGAGGAUGAAAGCGGGGGAUCGCAAGACCUCGCGCGUCUGGAGCGGCCGAUGGCAGAUUAGGUAGUUGGUGAGGUAAAGGCUUACCAAGCCUGCGAUCUGUAGCUGGUCUGAGAGGAUGAUCAGCCACACUGGGACUGAGACACGGCCCAGACUCCUACGGGAGGCAGCAGUGGGGAAUUUUGGACAAUGGGCGAAAGCCUGAUCCAGCCAUUCCGCGUGCAGGAUGAAGGCCCUCGGGUUGUAAACUGCUUUUGUACGGAACGAAAAAGCUCCGGCUAAUACCUGGAGUCCAUGACGGUACCGUAAGAAUAAGCACCGGCUAACUACGUGCCAGCAGCCGCGGUAAUACGUAGGGUGCAAGCGUUAAUCGGAAUUACUGGGCGUAAAGCGUGCGCAGGCGGUUUUGUAAGACAGAGGUGAAAUCCCCGGGCUCAACCUGGGAACUGCCUUUGUGACUGCAAGGCUGGAGUGCGGCAGAGGGGGAUGGAAUUCCGCGUGUAGCAGUGAAAUGCGUAGAUAUGCGGAGGAACACCGACGGCGAAGGCAAUCCCCUGGGCCUGCACUGACGCUCAUGCACGAAAGCGUGGGUAGCAAACAGGAUUAGAUACCCUGGUAGUCCACGCCCUAAACGAUGCCAACUGGUUGUUGGGGGAGUGAAAUCCCUUAGUAACGAAGCUAACGCGUGAAGUUGACCGCCUGGGGAGUACGGUCGCAAGGUU